rnacentral:sRNA from 1 species
UGCUUGUUGGUUGUCUAUGGUAAGGGUGUGUCCAGUUGAGAAAGGCCGGAGAUAGGAAUCCAAGGACUUUCCAACUGACAGCUCGAAGAUAUUUUCUGCUAUGAGGAUGGAGAACCAGGUUACCAGAACUUAGGCAUUAGCUUUGGACUAAAAUAUGCUUUGUUCCAGGUUUUUGAUCCUUCACACAGUAAAGGCAUCAUCAGAUCCUUUGCGCGGUUGCAACUCCAACGGGCAGGUUUUUGAUCUGGUGUCGCAUAUCACACUGAGCACAUAAGCAAGAACCUUGUGCAGGAUGCUCUAAAGUACAAGAUGAGAGGAGGUCUUGCAUCUGUUCACAAAAUUGCUAACCAAGGUCCGGAUUCCUUCACUGAUAAACUAUAGUUAACGGUUGGAGAUCAGAGGUCUUGGUCCAUGAAUAAAAAAUAGAAGAUGGAUUCGUCAUUAGUUGUAGACAAUGGAAGUGCCACCAUAUUUUGCCACAACCUAAAGAAAACGAGCAACUAAAUCCAGUUCUUCUAAUGGAUACUCCACCGAGAGUUACCGGCAGCCAACGGAGGGAAACGACUUAGUCAUAUUUGAUCCAUCCAGAAAAAAAUGGCACUACCAAAGCUUUAUAUAUCCGGAGGGCGGUCUCUCCUCGUGGCUCCUCAAACAUCUUUCCUUGCUCAUAAGCACAUGAAGUUGCACCAACCAGGAUUCCAGCGCGAAAGGGUAGUUGUGGAGGGUUUCGGGCAUUCGGGUUUGUUGAUUGGAGAGAUUCUCACAAGACAGUUUUUCCUCACAUUUUAUCUCCCAUACUAUUAGCUGAAAACGGAAGGAGUGGGAAGGGAAAGAGGUUCAGAAAAGAGGCAUUGGAUUAGGAAGCUGAUG